rnacentral:rRNA from 1 species
UACGAAGGGUGCAAACGUUGCUCGGAAUUAUUGGGCGUAAAGAGCUCGUAGGUGGUUUGGUAAGUCGGAUGUGAAAUCUCCAGGCUCAACCUGGAGGGGUCAUUCGAUACUGCCAUGACUAGAGGUCGGUAGGGGAGUGUGGAAUUCCUGGUGGAGCGGUGAAAUGCGCAGAUAUCAGGAGGAACACCCGUAGCGAAGGCGGCACUCUGGGCCGAUACUGACACUGAGGAGCGAAAGCGUGGGGAGCGAACAGG